rnacentral:rRNA from 1 species
UACGAAGGGGGCUAGCGUUGUUCGGAAUAACUGGGCGUAAAGCGCAUGUAGGCGGACUGUUAAGUCAGAGGUGAAAUCCCGGGGCUCAACCCCGGAACGGCCUUUGAUACUGGCAGUCUGGAGUCCGGAAGAGGUGAGUGGAAUUGCGAGUGUAGAGGUGAAAUUCGUAGAUAUUCGCAGGAACACCAGUGGCGAAGGCGGCUCACUGGUCCGGUACUGACGCUGAGGUGCGAAAGCGUGGGGAGCAAACAGG